rnacentral:rRNA from 10 species
UUAAGUGAAUAAGGGCGCACGGUGGAUGCCUUGGCACUAGGAGCCGAUGAAGGACGGGACUAACACCGAUAUGCUUUGGGGAGCUGUAAGUAAGCUAUGAUCCAGAGAUUUCCGAAUGGGGGAACCCAAUAUCUUUUAUAGGAUAUUACUUUUCAGUGAAUACAUAGCUGAUUAGAGGUAGACGCAGAGAACUGAAACAUCUUAGUACCUGCAGGAAGAGAAAGAAAAUUCGAUUCCCUGAGUAGCGGCGAGCGAAACGGGAAGAGCCCAAACCAACAAGCUUGCUUGUUGGGGUUGUAGGACUCCAACAUGGUAGUCUGUUAGUAUAGUUGAAGGAUUUGGAAAAUUCCGCUAAAGAGGGUGAAAGCCCCGUAGACGAAAUGCUGACAACACCUAGGAGGAUCCUGAGUACGGCGGAACACGAGAAAUUCCGUCGGAAUCCGCGGGGACCAUCCCGCAAGGCUAAAUACUCCCUAGUGACCGAUAGUGAACCAGUACCGUGAGGGAAAGGUGAAAAGCACCCCGGAAGGGGAGUGAAAUAGAUCCUGAAACCGUGUGCCUACAACAAGUCAAAGCUCGUUAAUGAGUGAUGGCGUGCCUUUUGUAGAAUGAACCGGCGAGUUACGAUUGCAUGCGAGGUUAAGUCGAAGAGACGGAGCCGCAGCGAAAGCGAGUCUGAAUAGGGCGAAUGAGUAUGUAGUCGUAGACCCGAAACCAUGUGAUCUACCCAUGUCCAGGUUGAAGGUGCGGUAAAACGCACUGGAGGACCGAACCCACGUACGUUGAAAAGUGCGGGGAUGAGGUGUGGGUAGCGGAGAAAUUCCAAACGAACUUGGAGAUAGCUGGUUCUCUCCGAAAUAGCUUUAGGGCUAGCCUCGGAAUUGAGAAUGAUGGAGGUAGAGCACUGUUUGGACUAGGGGCCCAUCUCGGGUUACCGAAUUCAGAUAAACUCCGAAUGCCAUUCAUUUAUAUCCGGGAGUCAGACUGCGAGUGAUAAGAUCCGUAGUCGAAAGGGAAACAGCCCAGACCACCAGCUAAGGUCCCAAAAUAUAUGUUAAGUGGAAAAGGAUGUGGGGUUGCACAGACAACUAGGAUGUUGGCUUAGAAGCAGCCACCAUUUAAAGAGUGCGUAAUAGCUCACUAGUCGAGUGACCCUGCGCCGAAAAUGUACCGGGGCUAAACAUAUUACCGAAGCUGUGGACUACACCAUUAGGUGUAGUGGUAGGAGAGCGUUCUAAGGGCGUUGAAGGUCGAUCGUGAGGACGGCUGGAGCGCUUAGAAGUGAGAAUGCCGGUAUGAGUAGCGAAAGACAGGUGAGAAUCCUGUCCACCGUAUGACUAAGGUUUCCUGGGGAAGGCUCGUCCGCCCAGGGUUAGUCGGGACCUAAGCCGAGGCCGAUAGGCGUAGGCGAUGGACAACAGGUUGAUAUUCCUGUACCAGUUGUUUUUGUUUGAGCAAUGGAGGGACGCAGUAGGCUAAGGAAUGCAUGCGAUUGGAAGUGCAUGUCCAAGCAAUGAGUCUUGAGUAGAGUUAAAUGCUUUACUCUCUAAGGACAAGUUGUGACGGGGAGCGAAAUAAUAGUAGCGAAGUUCCUGAUGUCACACUGCCAAGAAAAGCUUCUAGUGAGAAAACAACUGCCCGUACCGUAAACCGACACAGGUAGUCGAGGAGAGUAUCCUAAGGUGAGCGAGCGAACUCUCGUUAAGGAACUCGGCAAAAUGACCCCGUAACUUCGGGAGAAGGGGUGCUGACUUCGGUCAGCCGCAGUGAAUAGGCCCAAGCGACUGUUUAUCAAAAACACAGGUCUCUGCAAAAUCGUAAGAUGAAGUAUAGGGGCUGACGCCUGCCCGGUGCUGGAAGGUUAAGAGGAUGGGUUAGCUUCGGCGAAGCUCAGAAUUGAAGCCCCAGUAAACGGCGGCCGUAACUAUAACGGUCCUAAGGUAGCGAAAUUCCUUGUCGGGUAAGUUCCGACCCGCACGAAAGGCGUAACGAUUUGGGCACUGUCUCAACGAGAGACUCGGUGAAAUUUUAGUACCUGUGAAGAUGCAGGUUACCCGCGACAGGACGGAAAGACCCCAUGGAGCUUUACUGUAGUUUGAUAUUGAGUGUUUGUACCACAUGUACAGGAUAGGUAGGAGCCGAUGAGACCGGAACGCUAGUUUCGGAGGAGGCGCUGGUGGGAUACUACCCUUGUGUUAUGAACCCUCUAACCCGCACCACUAAUCGUGGUGGGAGACAGUGUCAGAUGGGCAGUUUGACUGGGGCGGUCGCCUCCUAAAAGGUAACGGAGGCGCCCAAAGGUUCCCUCAGAAUGGUUGGAAAUCAUUCGAAGAGUGUAAAGGCAGAAGGGAGCUUGACUGCGAGACCUACAAGUCGAGCAGGGACGAAAGUCGGGCUUAGUGAUCCGGUGGUUCCGCAUGGAAGGGCCAUCGCUCAACGGAUAAAAGCUACCCUGGGGAUAACAGGCUUAUCUCCCCCAAGAGUCCACAUCGACGGGGAGGUUUGGCACCUCGAUGUCGGCUCGUCGCAUCCUGGGGCUGUAGUCGGUCCCAAGGGUUGGGCUGUUCGCCCAUUAAAGCGGCACGCGAGCUGGGUUCAGAACGUCGUGAGACAGUUCGGUCCCUAUCCGUCGCGGGCGUUGGAAAUUUGAGAGGAGCUGUCCUUAGUACGAGAGGACCGGGAUGGACUUACCGCUGGUGUACCAGUUGUUCUGCCAAGGGCAUUGCUGGGUAGCUAUGUAGGGAAGGGAUAAACGCUGAAAGCAUCUAAGUGUGAAGCCCACCUCAAGAUGAGAUUUCCCAUUUCUUUAAGAAAGUAAGACCCCUGAGAGAUGAUCAGGUAGAUAGGUUGGAAGUGGAAGGCUAGUGAUAGUUGGAGCGGACCAAUACUAAUCGGUCGAGGACUUAACCAA